UACUGUCUGACUUGAAUAGUAUGGAAGUAACUAGAAUAUGUAGUGUAGCGGUGAAAUGCUUAGAUAUUACAUGGAAUACCAAUUGCGAAGGCAGGUUACUACGUACUUAUUGACGCUGAUGAACGAAAGCGUGGGUAGCGAACAGGAUUAGAUACCCUGGUAGUCCACGCCGUAAACGAUGGAUACUAGCUGUUCGGACUUCGGUUUGAGUGGCUAAGCGAAAGUGAUAAGUAUCCCACCUGGGGAGUACGUUCGCAAGAAUGAAACUCAAAGGAAUUGACGGGGGCCCGCACAAGCGGUGGAGCAUGUGGUUUAAUUCGAUGAUACGCGAGGAACCUUACCAGGGCUUAAAUGUAGAUUGACAGGUUUGGAAACAGACUUUUCUUCGGACAAUUUACAAGGUGCUGCAUGGUUGUCGUCAGCUCGUGCCGUGAGGUGUCAGGUUAAGUCCUAUAACGAGCGCAACCCCUAUUGUUAGUUACCAGCGCGUUAAGGCGGGGACUCUAGCAAGACUGCCGGUGCAAACCGUGAGGAAGGUGGGGAUGACGUCAAAUCAUCACGGCCCUUACGUCCUGGGCUACACACGUGCUACAAUGGCAAGUACAGAAAGCAGCUACCUGGCAACAGGAUGCGAAUCUCCAAAGCUUGUCUCAGUUCGGAUUGGAGUCUGCAACUCGACUCUAUGAAGCUGGAAUCGCUAGUAAUCGGAUAUCAGCCAUGAUCCGGUGAAUACGUUCCCGGGCCUUGUACACACCGCCCGUCAAG
rnacentral:rRNA from 1 species